UGAUCAAUUUGAUCUUACUGAUAACACGCAAAAUACAUUGUCUAAAUAGUUUAAUUUUUAUUCAUUUAGAGUCUUUUAUUGUGUUUUGUAUGUCUUCUGGCUAGUAUUUUGUUAUGUUUCAGGUAACGAGGGUGUUAAAAGUAAAAGAAUCAAGAAGGAGGUGAAAAGAGAAACAUAAGCUAGUACGGUCAGCCCAUCACCAUGGCUAAUGACAUCAUGCUGAUGUCAUACCCAAUUCAGAUCAAGCCAAGAAAGAAGGCGUUCAGCAACAACGCUUCCGAGUCUCUUUGCAGAGUUAUCAGUUUCAAUCCUAAUCUUCACUCCACAUCUUUAGGCUCAAGCAAAGAUGAUGUGGUGGCAAUUUCAGAGCUAUAAAAGGGAGGCAAUUGAUCAGAAAGGGGGGACGUUUUUCAGCUUUUAGUUUUACGUUUUCGGAAUAGAGUUUAUUUUCGCUUUUAGCUUAAGUUGUGAUUUCUCACUGUAAUUCAAUUCCGAUUCAAACAAAAAUCGUUCCUGCAGAAUUGUAUGAGAUUUUCGAACCACUUUGUGAAGAAAUAAAUUUCAGAUUCAUCUUUACAUUUUCGUGCAAUUCGGUCCCUGAAAGUUUCUGUUUGCAAUUUCUGCAUCCCUGUUCUUAUUUAUUUAUUUGCCUUUGUUUCUUUCAUUCUUAUUUAUUCAUCCAAUUUACAUUGAGUCUCUUUACUAUUAUUCUUAGUUGUUUUAUUGCUAGCUACUUUAAUCCCUAUUAUUCAUGUGCUAUUGCUGGUGCCGUAAGACAUAUUGCUUUUGAUUCCUUAGCUUUUUGAUUUAGUGUUCAUUGCCGUGUAAAUUCAUUGCCUUUACAAACUACUUAUUCAUGUCCAGUUGCUGUGAUGUUUUACUCUAGUAAUAUUAUUAGUUAGCUGCUUACUUCCUUGUUCCAUAGUUUCAUUGUUAUUGAAUUCGGUUACUUUGCUGAUUGUGUUCUUUUAACCGGUGCUGCUUGUUCGCCUGGCUGGUCCUAUUCUUGUUUUUAUUAUCAUGUUGAUGCUUGCUUAAGUUUUGCAGUGAGAUACCUCAUUUAGCAGUCUGCAUCGAAUUGUUCAAGGGAUUUAUACUCAAUUAAAGUUUCCAGAUUUUUACAGCUUUUCCCAUAGUUAACCAAGGUUACACUAUCAAGGGAUAUACAAGAGAAAUAAGUUGAUCUAACUUAUUCAACUUAUUUGAGAAUUGUGGUAUCUUUGCAACAUAAGACUUUACUUGGCAUCAACGGCGAAGCUAGCAAUAAUUUUAUGAGGUAGCCACCCGAAAGUUACCGAAGUCACAAAAAAUUAUUACACCUAAAAUCGAACUUGGGCCAUAGCUACCCCUUUGUUGUAGAAGCAUUCACCCCUGCUUGGCAUACAUUGGCGUGCUUCAGGGGGGAGGGUUGGGUCGCCGGAAAAAUCAAUGAUGGUGAGGUGAGGCGAAGAAGAAAGAGCAGCUUUUGAACGAAGAAGAACAUGAAUUAACGAGAGAAUGAAAAUAAGAUGGUGAUGGUCCAUGUGAUGUUUUUAUUGGUACAUUAAAUUUAAGCCCUUCAUUUUAAUCUGAAGGGCUGAUAAUAUAUUCUCACACUCUCACAUAAGAAAGUCAUUCUCAUUA